GCCGAGACAAAGCAUUCCUUCCAUCCUGCUCAGAAGGCUGAAAGGCACAAGAGAUACCGUUAGUAAUGAACGCUAGUGCUCUGUUGAUUUCACUUGUCCCAUUAUUUUAUGGACGUGUGUCCGUGCACGCAAAAACAAGCUUGGUCCAGAAGAAUGGAAACUAAAGAGGCUUGUAACUACCUGUAACUGUUUCGUCAGGAAAUGGAUCAAGCGUUUUUUUCAGCCAGAUCCAGGAUCCACAACAACUCAACAACUCAUAAUGAUAGCACUGACUGUCCCCGGGUCAUGAGCAGUGUGCAGCACCGGCCUUUUAAGCUUGCAGCCUCUGAAGGAUCAAAAUCAAAACUGCUUGAGCAAGUUUCCUGGCUGGAG
rnacentral:lncRNA from 1 species